rnacentral:misc_RNA from 1 species
UUUCAGUUAACAUUUCUCUGCCAGAACGUAAAGAUGGGUCAAACCAUUGACAAGCCCCAGGAACUUGAAUCCAAAAAUGUUGAUGACAUGGAAAAGAAGAUCGAAAUUCGGCAAAAAUACAUAGCGGAAAUGGCGAAGAGGCUAUCCGGCCUGGAAGAAGUCCAAAAGGGUCGACAAUGUGACAAAUGAGUCUGGAGAGCCGAUCGGAAAUCAAGCAGCCCUCGUAAAGGAUGUGGAGGAGGAAAACAAAAUAUUUGAGAAGUUGGCCAAACUGGAACUGGAUGUCCAAUCACAUAGGUCUUUGAUUGAUCAACACGAAGAAAACGCCAUCAAGCAGCGAGCUGAUCUCAAGUCAAUUAAAGAGGAGACAAGUGGCAUCAAGGCCAGCAUCGAAGGACUUCAUCUGAAACUACAAUCGUAUCUGGACAAACAGGAGGAAAGUCAAAAGCUUUCGGAUUCAUUCAAGGCCCAAAUGGCCCAUUUCGAAGCAUUUUCGCAUGAGAUUAAAGAAAAAGAUAAAGACUAACUGAACUGACGCAAGACGCAAGAUGGCGGCAUAUCUCCGCUCAUACAUUUUCCAGUCAAAAGAUAUUUUAUAGCACGAAUCUGCAAGACGGCAGGUGGCGUGGCGCGUUUAUAGAAGGAAUUUGUUAUAAAUUUAAUCCAAAUCCAUAAAUAAAACCCAUACAUUUUUCUUA